rnacentral:rRNA from 1 species
CCUACGGGAGGCAGCAGUGGGGAAUUUUGGACAAUGGGCGCAAGCCUGAUCCAGCAAUGCCGCGUGCAGGAUGAAGGCCUUCGGGUUGUAAACUGCUUUUGUACGGAACGAAACGGUGAGCUCUAAUACAGUUUGCUAAUGACGGUACCGUAAGAAUAAGCACCGGCUAACUACGUGCCAGCAGCCGCGGUAAUACGUAGGGUGCGAGCGUUAAUCGGAAUUACUGGGCGUAAAGCGUGCGCAGGCGGUGAUGUAAGACAGAUGUGAAAUGCCCGGGCUCAACCUGGGACCUGCAUUUGUGACUGCAUCGCUAGAGUACGGUAGAGGGGGAUGGAAUUCCGCGUGUAGCAGUGAAAUGCGUAGAUAUGCGGAGGAACACCGAUGGCGAAGGCAAUCCCCUGGACCUGUACUGACGCUCAUGCACGAAAGCGUGGGGAGCAAACAGGAUUAGAUACCCUGGUAGUCCACGCCCUAAACGAUGUCAACUGGUUGUUGGGUCUUCACUGACUCAGUAACGAAGCUAACGCGUGAAGUUGACCGCCUUGGGGGAGGUACGGUUCGUUGCGAGGUUAGGUUAACGUACGAAAGGAAGUUAGACGGCGUUGGAGGACGUUGCCGACGGACGACGACGAGGGGAGGUAGG